CAGUCGCCUCAGUGUAGUCUCGGCUCUCGUUGGGUGUGCACCUGUGUUCUCUCAACUCCAGUCAACUUAUCCAAUCGUUCCCUAGUACCCAUAUGAACUAAAAGGUGCAGUCUAUAUAUAUAUAUUUUAAUACAGUUAGAAAAUAUAUAUUAAACAUUAAAAUUCCCCUUUUAGGGUUAUAACCAUGAAUGAUUUAUAUACCUAGAGAGUGAAAAGGAAUUUGAAGAAGGGGGAACAGGUUGUGUUGUGGAUUUUUUCCUACUACACUAAUGAACAGCUGACUUGGAUUUAGACUCAACGGAAGAUAGAAUUUAGCGGACUCGUUUCACAAUACCUGAAGAAAGAUGAGUAGUCCGGGUUCGAAAGAGGUUGUGGGCAGCAAUGGGGGUCCUGCCUCGAGUUGGGUCCAAUUUGACGAGGAGGAUGUCAACCAGCAGUCCCUUACCAUUGCGAAUGAUGGCAGCACACCUGCUGUUAUUGAUGCCCAGUCUGUCCAGGUGUCACUGGACGACCACAACCACACCACGCCAAAGAAAACCCUCAACAAAACAGCAUCCGAGCCAGCCAAUGGCGUCCGAAAGGGGUCCAUCACCUCUUCGACCACACCCACGAGUCUGACCCCCAGCACGGGAGAGACGCGGGUCACCAUGUCUCAACUCAGUGCUUCACAGCUUCAUAAUGUGCCUCUCAACGACCCUUCAGCGCGACCUCCAGCCAAUGCCCAGCCGGUCAUCAGACAGGGGUUCACCAAUGGGGAUGUCAUAGUUACCUUGCUGCCUCAGAACACCUCAAUGCCGUGGAUUACCCCAGCUCAGUUUCGGCCUGAGCUCGUGCCAGAGGAGUUGAUGGCCCAGGGGCUGACGUUGACGGUCGAGGAUUACGUUCACGUCAUGUCCCAGCUGGUUAACGACUACCGGUUUACCCUCUACAACGUCUGCUACAAGCGUAUCCUAAUGGCCUGGAUCUUCCUUGGGUUCAUAAUCCUGCUUGGCAUCCUUUUCUCGGGAGUCUCACAGCUUGCGUUAUUUGGAGCCGGAAUCGCCUGGCUCAUGGUGAACGCAGCGGCGAUAUUCUUCUGCAUGUGGGUCAAAAUCAAGCUGAAUAAGUCGCUGGAGCAGUGUAUGGCGGAGAUCAACGUCCAGCUGGUCCGCCACAAGAUUAUAUUAGGCCUCGAUGACAGGGGGAAACUGUCGUGUCAUAAAGUCAAUCUGUGCUUCAUCUACUUUGACACGCAUGACUGUGUGGCUAAAUUGCAGGAGAUAAUAGAACAGGAGGAACGCGCCGGCCGCAACGUCAACAGCGACGAGGCCAAGAUGACGCCCCUCCGCGACCGCAUGGACAUCGACGAUUCCGACAUCAUCAUCACGGGCGCGACAAAUACCCGCAUCUCCCGGCAACAAGAGAGAGCGGAACUCCUGCUCACCCGCUACAGCCAGCGCUGGGCCAAGGACUUCCUGCGCAAGAGGCUCGACUGGGCUUUUGAUGCAUCUGCCCGUUUGGAGGGUCUCUCCCCUCCUGUAGCCCCACGCCACUUAGCCACCGCUCGCUGCCUCUGCCAGUACAUUGAGGAACACCUCUCAGUCAAACUCCCGCGCCAAGAGCGAGCUUCUCGUGCGCAGUGUGCUUGCAUAACACGGUUCUGCCAAGAUGCUGAAUUAUAAUUGAUACCUUUAUACCAUAGCCUUACAUAUAUUGCUAAUCAACAUUUAUACAGAACAUUUUUUAUAAUUUUUUAGUUUAAAAUGAGGACACUGAGUUUUAAUAGGUUCCAUGUUGUCUCAUAGUAAAUACUGUACUGUGUUAUAAUUGUUAAAGAAACCUUCAGUGUUCCACAGGUACACUGUACUGUACCUUGAACUCAUCAUCAUCAUGAUAGAUUACAACGAAUUUAGAUUUUUUGAAGUGUAAGAACCUCUAUUAUGUAAGACAACUGUAUGUGAUGAUAUUGAAAUCUCAGAAUAUUAUUAUUUACAUAGGUGUUAGAUUUUUUCUUUCUCAUUGUUGGUUUUAGUUCAACAGAAGAUCUGUGUAAUCUGUUGCUGCAGGUUUUUUGAAUUUAUAUUUUAAUAGAAAUUUGGACACCUGUACAUUUACAGAUGGGGUGUAGUGGCUCAGUGGAUACAACACUCCUCUCCUAUUCUUAGGGUCACUGGUUCAUGAAGGCAGUCGAGUGCAGUGCCAACCACAAUUCCUCCUUCUGUACCAAAAAAAUGACUUGGUCUUUUGCUGCAUAUGUACUUCCCCUCAUGAACCUUCAGUCAUACAGGAGCCACUUUAAAUGUGUCACUUUUAUGGGCUAAGAUGGUAAUAGAAAUGACCCGGUGUGUUCCUCCAUUGACCAACUCAAACUUGGAGUCUCAGUUCAGUUGUUGAGUAUUAUAGACAGGAGAUGUUCAGGAGAUAGUAUGUUUAUUACUGAUUCCAAGGAGUGGAGGAAGACACAAAGCCUUCACUUCCCUAUUGAAAUCCUUGGGUCACUCUCCGUAUGUUCCUUGCAUCACUCUCCAUAUGUUCCUUGCAUCACUCUCCAUAUGUUCCUUGCAUCACUCUCCAUAUGUUCCUUGCAUCACUCCAUAUAUUCCUUGGGUCACUUCAUAUUUUCUAGGAUUAGUUUUCAUGUUUUCUUAGGUUUUCAUUCCAUAUUGUCCUGUUACUUUCUAUACACUGAUCUUGUACUCAUCCCUCUCUCUUGUAUCCCAUUUUCUUUGAGGUUUGUGUACAGUUCCCCCUUGAUCAACCUCACAGAAAACUGAUAGAUAUAGAGACAUAUUUCCAUCUCAAACUGUAACUGAAUCUCAUGUUGAUUAGGUUAGGUGAGGCUUGGUCAUGUUGUUAGGUUUGGUUAUGUUGUUAGGCUUGGUUAUGUUGUUAGGUUUGGUUAUGUUAAGUUAGGCUUUGAGCUGAGGUUUCACAGAUGUGUUCAAUAUUGUAAUUAUUUUUUCAUUGGGUAGACUGACUUCCUCUAAAUCAAGAAGUGAUUAGGAUGAUCAUUAUUCUUUAUGGUUCAAAUGUUAUUCAAGAUAAUUAUCACCAAAACAUUCCAACAGUUUAAAUAUCAGGAUGUUUGUGUAUCCUAGUUCAUAUGUUACCCACGGUGUUUAUUACCAUUACAUUCCAAUAGUUUUAACAAUACUUGACAAAACUGAACAGGGAUUUUAAGGAGAUGGAAAAAAGUAUAAGUGUGAAAGGGUGUUGAAACCUACUUAAAAAUAUAAAUGCGAGAAUCUUCCCCGGAAAAUAGGUAAAGAGAGCAUCAUUUAUUCCACCCAUUAUAGGAUUAUUACCCAUGGGCUAUUGGAUCCCAUUGAAGGUCCCAAGUUUACUGUGUUAUUUAUGGUAGAAAGACUUGAGGGAUUGAUGCAGUCACCCCAUACAUGACAUAUACAUGACAUGGGUGUGGUAUGGGCACCACUGACCUGUAUGUAAUAUUGUAUAUAUUUAUUUUUUUGUCUGUACACUAAAAGCAAGACUUCUCUAACAAGAUUAAACUGAUUUUAACAUUUCUUUCUUCUGUUCUAUUUUUUAAUUUGUGGAGUAGCUUACUUUAAAUUGACUAAACUGACUGAAAUAAAUGUACUAAAGGUUGCUUGUGUGGAGUAUGUAUCCUGGAGGUUGCCUGUGUGUAGUAUGUGUCCUGGAGGUUGUCUGUGUGGAGUACGUGUCCUGGAGGUUGCCUGUGUGGAGUGUGUCCUGGAGGUUGCCUGUGUGGAGUGUGUCCUGGAGGUUGCCUGUGUGGAGUGUGUCCUGGAGGUUGCCUGUGUGGAGUAUGUUUCUUGAAGGCCUGUGUGAAGUACAACAUAAAGCUUGCCUGUAUGGAGUACGACUUGAAACUUGCUUGUAUGGAGUACGAUUUGAAGCUUGCCUGUGUGGAGUAUGACAUGAAGCUUGCCUGUGUGGAGUAUGACUUGAAGCUUGCGUGUGUGGAGUACGACUUGAAGCUUGCCUCACGCUGCUUUAGCUUCGACUUAUACAUGGUAAUCUAUAUACGGUACUGUACUUAUUUCUCGCAAGUACUGGACUAGUAUAGCUUGCUGAAAGGACACGAUAUAUGCAUCAUUUAUUGUACCUUAGUGCGAGUAGUUUUACCAAGAAGAGGAACAAGAAUCUGUCGGCUUUCUAUCUUUUAGUGUAAAUUUCUAGGGCAUUGCAUGAGGAAGGACGUUCUGUGAGAAACUUAGCUAUGUACCUUACUUACUUACAAAAACACCUGCAGUAGUUAAUUGGUGUAUAAAAACCACCUGUGGCUGUUAAUUAGUGUGUGGGUUAAGGUGAGUUGAUGUAGUACAGGAGCUAUACUUAAGAGGCCUCGUAGGUAGUGUACAGUUGCCCAUCUCGUUAACUCGUGUAGCGUAAUAUUUAAUAAGACUUCAAGUGCAUCUAAUUCCUUUCAUCUCUGACAAUGGUUAUCAAGAGGAAUAUAAUUUUUAUUUCCUAACUCUAGUGGCUCCCUAAAAUUUAUUUCAUCCAACCCCAAAUCCACUUAUGUUUUAUUUAAUGCUUCUUCAGUGUCUGUACAGAAUUAUACACCUCAUUUGCUUACUGAAAUAUAUAUAGUGAAGGAAACUGUUAUUACAUUUAUAUUAUAUCAAGUACAGUACAGUUCUGAUUACAUUUAUAUAUUUCAAGGACAGUUCAGUUCUGAAUACAUCUUUAUAAAUCAAGGACAGUUCUGAUUACAUUUUUAUAUAUCAAGGACAGUUCUGAUUACAUUUUUAUAUAUCAAGGACAGUUCUGAUUACAUUUUUAUAUAUCAAGGACAGUUCUGAUUACAUUUUUAUAUAUCAAGGACAGUUCUGAUUACUGUGAGUAACGUUUCAUCGUAUUUUUUCAGCAAAUUUUUUAUGAGAAUCUUCCAUUAAGUUUAGACACGUGUUACAUAGGGUCUCUUUUAAGAUGUUAGGUACUGUACUGUCAUUUUGGGGCAGACUCAUCGUAGAUAGUUUGUACAGGUAUACAUGAUUGGGGAUGGUGUCGUUAGAUCAGUAAAUCAUUCAUUAGUUGUUUAGUAUUUGAUCUAUAAGAUUGACUUGAGGUAUCUUGGGGGGGGGGGGGCUAUAAAUUACAAUAUAUAAUUUUAUUUUUUAUCUUUAUAUAUUUUUUUUAGAUUGGCAGAUAGUCUUUAAGGAUAAUUUGUAUAUUGUACAGUUUACGAUGGAUUUUAGGUCAGUUUUAAUAUUGACGGCAACUCACUGACCAACUUUUCAUGGUAACUUUUUUUAACAAUUCCGUCCAUUGCUUCUCAUGAAUUUUUUAUCCCGUUGAUAUAUUUUUUUAUGAAAUUGUACUGAUAAGUUUAUUACAAGACUUAAAACUUUCAUCAAUGGUAAUUAUUUUUGUAUGUUGGCAGAAGCUCACAUAUUAUAUCUGAAUAUUUCUUAUUUACAUCAGUAACUCUAUACUGUAUUGUUUUUAAGUGAUUAUUAAUGUACCAGUCACUACGUUAUUAUUUUUAAGUGUGUAAUAUGUUUAGGUGACCUCCAGUGUAUAACUCUGUUUAUAAAUCUUUAUCUUGUAA